AAGAAAUCAACCGAGAUUCCCUUAGUAGUGGCGAGCGAACGGGGACUAGCCCUUAAGUGGCUUUGAGAUUAGCGGAACGCUCUGGAAAGUGCGGCCAUAGUGGGUGAUAGCCCUGUACGCGAAAAUCUCUUAGUCAUGAAAUCGAGUAGGACGGAGCACGAGAAACUUUGUCUGAAUAUGGGGGGACCAUCCUCCAAGGCUAAAUACUACUGACUGACCGAUAGUGAACUAGUACCGUGAGGGAAAGGCGAAAAGAACCCCGGAGAGGGGAGUGAAAUAGAUCCUGAAACCGUAUGCGUACAAGCAGUGGGAGCCCACUUUGUUGGGUGACUGCGUACCUUUUGUAUAAUGGGUCAGCGACUUAUUUUCAGUGGCGAGCUUAACCGAAUAGGGGAGGCGUAGCGAAAGCGAGUCUUAAUAGGGCGUCUAGUCGCUGGGAAUAGACCCGAAACCGGGCGAUCUAUCCAUGGGCAGGUUGAAGGUUGGGUAACACUAACUGGAGGACCGAACCGACUACCGUUGAAAAGUUAGCGGAUGACCUGUGGAUCGGAGUGAAAGGCUAAUCAAGCUCGGAGAUAGCUGGUUCUCCUCGAAAGCUAUUUAGGUAGCGCCUCAUGUAUCACUGUAGGGGGUAGAGCACUGUUUCGGCUAGGGGGUCAUCCCGACUUACCAAACCGAUGCAAACUCCGAAUACCUACAAGUGCCGAGCAUGGGAGACACACGGCGGGUGCUAACGUCCGUCGUGAAAAGGGAAACAACCCAGACCGUCAGCUAAGGUCCCAAAGUUAUGGUUAAGUGGGAAACGAUGUGGGAAGGCUUAGACAGCUAGGAGGUUGGCUUAGAAGCAGCCACCCUUUAAAGAAAGCGUAAUAGCUCACUAGUCGAGUCGGCCUGCGCGGAAGAUGUAACGGGGCUCAAACCAUACACCGAAGCUACGGGUAUCACUUAGGUGAUGCGGUAGAGGAGCGUUCUGUAAGCCUGUGAAGGUGAGUUGAGAAGCUUGCUGGAGGUAUCAGAAGUGCGAAUGCUGACAUGAGUAACGACAAUGGGUGU
rnacentral:rRNA from 1 species